UUAUGGCAUAUUUAGAUACUGCACAUGGAGAACCUUCACUUUAACAGUCCGUAAGUGGUCCCAUUCUUAAGUACGUAUAGGUCGUUCCGAGUUUGAGCCUGCCCAGAGCAUUUCAGCGGCAGGGUUUGCCAUCUUAUCCCGGAGUUUGAAGAGGAUUAACGUAUACAACAGCCUGGGGAGACUUAAUGAAGCUGCAUCAGUCCUGGCUCACCUGUUAAUCACAGUUCAAGUGUCGCUUCCUUUCUUCAAUUACAGGCAGCUCAAAGACCUGGGACCUGUUCAGGGCAGAGGCUCUGUAAAUGCUUUCUUGUGUUUAUAAACAUGUAAAUGAAUAUUUGAAGAUAGUUCCUGCCCAAUGUAUUUUACAGGCACAAAUAUGAAGGCUCGUUAAAAAGCGGAGGGGACCCUAGGCAUUUUCUAAAGGCUGGGCAUAGGUUACACUGCUGGUUAUUCUGACCCCCUGAGAUUUUGUCCCCUGCGGAAUCUGUCCUUGUUCUUUUGCCUACUGGAGAUGUCUCAAGUUACAGAUUUCCAUCACGGGUCUGUUUUUUUUGUUGUUUUCUCAAUAGUGUUCAGGGGCCCUCACAGGGAAGUUUCCAGUUCCUUCUGUACGGUGACGGCAGCGCUGUUGGCUGGCUCCUUUCAGACAGCUUUCACACAUCCGAGCCUCUCCUGCCCUGGUCCCUUUCCCCCACAGCACCGCUUGCAGCCACACACCGCACUGCCCUGCCGAGCCUGUCUUUUUUGGGUAGUGGUACCUCUUUUUCAUAGAUGCUGGGACACGAAAGUCCUCCACCACUCACCUAGGUCCUCCCACAACCUUCGGCGGCAUGUUCACUUCCCUCUCCUUCGGCAGAGGUUUCACUCGGAAGAGCAGAGAAUUACUUUUGCCCCAGAACGAUGAUCCGAAAUAUCAUGUUUCGGAAUGUGGUGGGAAUCUCCUAUUCUGGAAUGUUCUUGUGGCUUUGAGGAGUUCUGGCUUUUUUUACUGUGCGGUGGAUCUGGUGAAGACAUGAGAGACAUGAAUAGCUGUGGAAUAUAACCUGGUGGUCCCAGUUUACAGCAAAGCAUGUAUCACCUCAGUGUCCAAGGCUGGUACCAAAUUCCUCCACAGUAAUUCCUCCUUUGAGAUCGAUUCGCUUGGUGACCUCAGUGUGACAGAAAGACCUUGCUCAAGUUUUGGUCGUGUGAGAAGACAAGGUCUAAUCAGUGUCCCAUCAUGUGAAAACACAGAUCUGGCCUACAAAUAUGCCUGAGUGUGAUCUUUUUUGAACCUCCCUAACUGCCUCAAAAGAGCAAAAGAAGGGCAUGGUGAUUUGGUAUUCCACGUUCGCUUUCCAGAUAUAAUACUGCAUUUCCAGACGUUGCAGGGCUCUUGGGGGAAAAAAGGGAGUCCUAUGUCUUCCCACUGGAAGGGAGAAGCAAGGAAGGGGUGAUGUUCUCCAAGCACAACCAGCUGCUUACAUGCAGGUAAGGUUUUGCAUUCCACAGCAAGUUUUCCAACCUGAACCCAGGUAUGGUUGUGCAGAGGACGCCCAGCAAUGAGAAUGUGUGCGCCUCGGCAUUGCUCAGAACAUCCGUCUUUGAGAUCUUGAGGUCUUUUCCCUACUUGAUUCCACAUUCAUUUAUAUCCCUUUGAAUUGUCAGGGUGUUGAGUUAGUUUGAUUAGUUUGAUUGCCUCCCUGGAUGAAAGAUCGUUACAGGAGUCCCAGGAUAUCCCGAAGUUAUUCCUCCACCUGGGAGAAAUCUGCCAGUGCUGCACAGUCCACACAAAGACCCUGGCCAGCAGACACAACUGGAGAUGCGAAGCACCCCUUCCAAUGGGAAGACUUCUGUCAAAGUUUAGAUGAAAAAGAUACAAGAUACUCCUACAGGAUGGAGAGGCUACUUUUAAAUGAAGGAAUGGCUCAAAUCAGCAAAUCCUGUUGACCACAAGGCAAGUUUCUCUUCCUUGCUUUCUUCAGGUAAUAUUGAAGCAAUUUAAUACAUGAAAACAGUAUUCCAAAGGUUGCAGUUGCAAUGUGUUUGAAUCCACUUACCUCCCACCUACCUUUCUCCUGCCAUAAUCUGAAGGUGCUCACACUUGUGGUAGCUCUAGCUCCCAGCCAUGGGAAGUCCCUUUAUGAUCAAUGGAGAUGAAAGCACAUCAUGUCACCGCCCUUUAUCUCUUCCUUACUGGGCACCUGAGAGUGUCCUGGUUGGUGAGACACCUACAGGGCAGAUGUUGAUGUCUGAUGCCAUGAAGACACUCUGCUCCAUGGCUGUCUAUUUAUCCCAGCUAUAGCUAAUUACAAGAGGAUUGAACAGGUCUUUUAAAUUACCUACCCAAAAAUUAGUCUGUAAAGUUACAAAUUUCAUAACACUUUCUUGCCUUUUUUUCUUGUAAAGCAAUUAUUACCCUCUUAAUUAAGUUGUCACAGACUCCCAGGUGUGUUGAUAACAGUUUUUGAGGUUGUCAUUCAUGCUCUAUUCAUGUAUCAAUGACUUUCUCAGCUGUCUGGAUUGGAAGAGUUUGCCUGUUCAAAAUAUUUUGGAAUCCAUCCACUUUGGCUUUUCUCUAGAUUUUUUGUGGCAUCGAAAAGCACAGUCGGACACUCAGUGGAGUCCUCAAUUUUGUUUCCAUCUGGAAUCACACACCAGGACUUGUGGGGAAGUUAUAACUGGCCUUAGAAAGUAAUAUGGAAUUGAUCCUCUGAAUUUGGUGAAAAUCUACUUAAGAGGUAAAUUCCAGUUGAUGGCAUUUUCAGAAUUUCUCUCUUUUUGGGUUGCUUUUUUUUGCAAUAACACCAAGUUUUAUUUGAAUGGUUUCUACUUAAAUUAUGCAUAGUAUUUGUUAUGCAUAAAGGACUUAUUCUACCAGUCCCCAGGUGCAUCUCAAAAGCAGGUAAAUGCAAUUAAUUCAAUAAAACAGUAGACAGUAACUUGACAGUGGUGUUGGAAACCAAACAGUGACUACAUCAGUGAUCUGCUGCAUGGAUGGUUGUGAUUACCUGCUUGAGGUGAACCUGCUUUGGCAAGGGGUUGGACUGGAUGAUCUCAAGAGGUCCCUUCCAGCCCUGACCAUUCUGUGAUUCUGAGAUUACAAGUGAUAUAAAAGUUGCAUCAAACCCAGUCUUUAAGGAUCUCCGCAAACCUCUUGCAGAGCUCUGCUUUGCAGAUUCGACCAGCUGGGAAGAACAGAUUUGUUAAGGGUGAAUCCAGGCUGGCUGGGAACAUUUGGGCUGCCCCUGAAUAGGAACUUGGUCCAUCACGUCUCGCACCAGGCUGGAUCUGCUCAGGGCUUUGUGGGCUGCCCUGGAGAUCAGAGGCAUGGCCCAGAGCAGAGUCCUGCUGGUGGUUCACUGAGCAGCCCCAGCAGGAAGGACCCAUUCUUGGCCCGCCUUCUGGGGCAGAAAGACCAGCAGGAUAGAAAACAAAGGUUCCACUUUCUCUCCUCCAAGCCACCACAUCAGAAAUAUUAAUGAAGGUGGUAAAGCCUGGGCAGCCUGUCCUUGGGGCUGGCUCAUCUACCUACGGUCUAAGGCCAGCCUUCACCGCUCGGUUGAGUUUGCAGAGGGUUGCACAGUGCUAUGUUUCACAUCAGCAUUUAUCAUUUCUAAAGGCAUUCAGCCGGUACAAGUGAUUCCUCUUUCAAAUCAGGAAUUAUAUUAAAAACUAACAUCCAUCUCCCCGAGGGCUUAAUGCAGAGUCUCAGCAAGCCUACAUCAUUUUGGUAAAUAGCUUGGAAAUUUUAGAAUUCACGUGAAAACAUCCUUAACUGAGUGGGACCCCAGGAAAAAAAAGACAAAUCCCCAUCCUCAUCCUGAGAUGACUUUGUUGCAAAUGCAACUUUUAAAUGAGGCAAGCUAGUUCAGCAGAAACCAUCAGACUUUUCUGAGAAUCUCUCCACUGUGUUCCUGCCAACUCUACCACUUUGGGCAUUCAUCUACCAGAUUUCCAGGCAGCUGAGAAGUGCAGACAAAUGGUCACUGUACACACAGCAAGGAGCCAGCCCGCACCUCUGCACAACGGUCGGGCACGCCAGCGGCCUCAGACCUGUGAAUACUGACACGUUUGUGCCGGCUGUCACUAACAGGGGAGGCAGAAACAUGUCAAGCAAACAGAAUCUGACUCCGUCAGAGAAGACGAUACCUCCGACACAAUGCAGAAAUGGGACGGAGUGAACAGUCCUGUCUCUACUCCCACCAAGUCACGCUUCCUGCGAUUUCAAAAGUAAACAAGUACAGACGACAUGAAUGGCAGCAAAUAAUGUAAACAGGAAUUCUCAUGCUAAUUGUACCCAUGCUCUGCUAUACUUAGAAGUGGAAGUCAAGUCAGUGUUUGGUGAAGCAUAUCUCCUGCAACCAAGAAGGAAGCAGAAAAAUAAUCAACUUAGGGGCUGGUCAGUCUGCAGAGGAAAUCCGAGGUGCAGUUUCACAAUACAUUAAGUCCACAACAAUAUAGGUUCAAAAGUUCCCUUUCUGCCUGACCUUGGCCUUUUGGGAAGGCUUGGGAAGAGGAAAUGGUGUUUUAAAAACCAGAUAGCCCACUAAACUGAUUUGUAGUUUAGCCUUCCAAAAGCACGUGCUCGUACAGAGAGGAAACGAGCCUGGGCACAGAAAGAUCUCUGUGAUGGAGCCAUGUGGGCAGAGUUUGCUGCUGAAGCCAGAAGGGUGUGGAAGUACAUAUCGGGAGUAAAAUGGGGAGAUAGCUAUUAGCAUGCCCUUUGAUUUCAGAUAACAUAUUUAGUGAGAGUUGGUGGAGUCGGAGCUCCUGGACAGCUUCAUUCCUGGUGGGAUGCACUAACUUCUUCGUGAUGAAACAGCUCUGGUUGCCCCUUUCCGAGUCAUGUUGCUGUGCAGGAACCAUCUACCAAGCUCAAGUGUUGCAUGAGCUGGGACUUGUGAAAAGACACAAGGACUUGCAUGUUAGGAAAAGGCGACAGUGAUAACCAUGUAGUUUAAAUUUUACUUAUUAUGGUUAACACCAAAGUGUGUGUCGCUUUUAUUGCCCUCGAUCGUGUGUUAUUUCUCGGGUUUUUUGCUAAGCUUACUGAAUAAAGCCCAGUGUGGACAGCCAGCCUCAGCAACAUCUGUAGAUGCUUCUGUGCAGGUAAGAAUAAUAACAUUCAGCAACACUGACAUCUUGUGGCUGAUGAGAAAUGACUCAGACAUGCCAGAUGAGCCACAAAUGUCUCUUCAUCAAUCGUGUAUUCAACAUCUCCUAAAAUAUGGCGAUGCUUAAAGUACCACAAGUCUGGUAACUGAGAGGUUAAAGGCAGAAAACGCAUCAAGGUGCCGGUUUAUUAGUUGACUGAGCCAUGUGUGUGGAUAAUCCGGCUGCAUGCUAAUCCUUUUGGCUAAUCUUCUCUGUGUGAAUGAUUCCCUCCAGAGGACAGGGAUAGAGUCUGGGAUUUUUGACAUGACAAACAGAAGCUGUCGCUCCCUGCAGAUGAUCUUCUUUGUGUUUUCCUCCUCCAUGGGGAAUCUGGGAGAGAAAAUACCUCUGGAAAAGACCCCUGGAGGAAUCUUUCUUGCUACCUAUUGUUACUGCCAGAAAUAAAAUCAGCGAAGCCAGGCUGUGAGUCUCUGCCUCUCAGCCAGUGGAGAUUUUUGGGAAAAGGUGUGGUAGGGAAGACUGUUGGUAUGGCAAGAUUUGUAGGAGCAAAUCCCGGCUGUCUGGAGAGUUGCGAACUCUUCUGCAUGCUUAGGGAACCGAGGCUUAAAUAUAACCUGUAUAAAAUAGCCUUACCCUUGAAGUAUGGGUAGGAAGAGAAAAUCUGCUUGGGACUCCAGUAGAUGGUGGAGGGAACAGAUGUCCUUUUUAGUCUAAAGAUAGAUGUUUGUGACACUGCAACAUGUUAUGGUCAGCCUUGGACUUCUGAGUUGCUAGCAGCUUCUUGGAAUGCUUCCUUGUUUGUGAGUGUUUUUGUUGCUAAUGAACAUCUGUAUCCACUUUAUCAUCCGAACCCAGUGAUGAAAUGAUUACUGAACAUGAAAUAAAAUGUUAUGCAAUGGACUUUUACAAGUAUCUAGAGAACUUUCAGGCUUUCUUGAGGAUGCUAGAUCUGGGAUUGUAAGGAGCAAUGACUUUAUGGUCUGCUUAAAGACUGCCCCUUGAAAUCAAAGCAAUUGUCUCAUUUGAGGCCUGUAUUGCAUAAUAUUCUUUAUGAAACCUGGGGCUAGAAUUGUAAAAGGCCACACCUAGCUGAGGCUGGGAUAAAAUUGACUAGGAAAAUCUUAAAAGCCUAAAACAGACUGAAGCUGGCUCUGGCUUGGGGGUCCUAUUUGCUAAUUGUUGGGGAAUAACAUCCUAUUCCUAGUCUCAGAAUGAAUUUACUUCUCACCCCCACACACACCUUGCCCUUUUUUAGAAUGGCUUUGAGUAACUUCACCUAGCGAGACCAUGAAAACAAACAAUAGAACUGAAUGAUUCUGUGAUUUGUAGUGUGCUUGGCUGUACUACGUAUUGUGCCUUGGCAUCUUUUAAUUCAGUGCAUUAAGUCACCUUAAAUCACUGACAUACACAAAUGCUGUAAUUUAGUAUACUAUGUAAAGAUUCCAGUUUAAAAUGGUUGAUAUCAUGUUUUUGGGGAAAAGACCCUUUUAUCUGUUCUGUUGACUUCAGUUAGUAACACAAAAGAUUAUUCUUAGCUGAUAGGAGUAAUCUGGAGGGAAAUCUAUUAUUCAACAUAAUUUAGAAGUGGGUAUUAUGGAGCUUGCAAGAACCAUUCAUUUAUACUGAUGUUUUCCUCUAAAACACAUCUUGUUGUAUUGUCUAACUAUAUUAAAAUCUAUCACACUGAAUCACAGAUGUUUGUUUCAAAGAAUAAAAAGUGCUCAAUUCAGCAGAAACUUGCAGCAGUAUGCUGAGUUAGCACCUUUCAAAAUUCCA